GUCUCGAGAGAGGGGUAAGAAGGGAUUAACGUGCACGUAGCAUUCGGUGGAACACCCCCACUGUUGCCCCCAAGUAUCAAGCACUGCGAGAAUAUCUCUCUCGUUUUCUCGUCAGACUCGAUCCUCAUUGCAGUUGGAACAAACCUACGUGAGCAUGCGAAUAAUGGAGCUCUCGCCGCAAUGCAGAAUUUCGGUUGUACGUCACCAAACUGACAAUACGAACGUGGGGGAUCGAUCGGAAUUUUCAGGAUAAUAUAAAAUAUUGGAUACACUGGAUCCUUGCAAACAGCCAAGGGCAGUCCAUUAAAUUGGCUAUCCUGACCACCCCUCGAGAAGGACAUCCUGCUACAGCUCUCUUCUUUCUCGUUUGGCAUCAAUACUUUUACCGCAGUUCGGGAGCACGUGAAAACAUUGACCGGAGAUAGGGAAGAGCUGAAAAGCGAAAACGAGGCGAUGAUUGUUGUAAUCAACGUGGAGAGAACCGCGGUCGUCGCUGCUCUACAUAAAGAAUUGUCAAAGCCUGUGGGAACGAAAAAACAGAGAACAACAAAAAACAUUCUUUUACGAUGCAUUCCGACAGUUCCAAGUUAUCGAUGUUAUCGCAGGGAUGCGCUCCACCCAGUACUAUAAAAAAAUGCAGAGACCAACGGUAGCAGUGAGAGACUCAAUGGGUUCCGAGAUUGAAAGUUCCGCUUCCUUGCUACACGGCCGAACGAACCACCCUUGUCACAAGGGGCGAUGCUCGUUCACGUUCAAUUUUCAACAGCGUCCAAACUUUGGAUACGAGGCUGUUGCGGCAAUACAUUUUAUCAAACAUGGAAUAAAAGGAAAAGAAGAAGUGGAAAAGGCAGUGGUGAUGAGUACCGAAAAUAAGGUUUCAGACGAAUGCGGAAAAGGCGGUGCGUUAAUUGCGGCAAACCUGUCGACUCGUUGGACUCCUCGCAACUUCUCGCUCCGGGCUGUACGGAGGAGUUCUCGGGAAAGGGUGUUUUUUAAUUAAAUUCCCUGUGGUUACAAAAGAUCGUCGUCAGGAGAGCUCAAAAAAAGAACUAUUGAGCAUGAACCUCGACUUUCGUUCGAAGAUAGAGAACGGAAACGGUGGAAUUCGAUGUCUCGUAGCUCAUCACGAUCAAUUUGAAAAGCGUUUCGACUUCCAUCCAGAAGAAGAAAAAAAAUGAUUGUUUAUCUAACAGAACUGAUACUCCGAUUCAAUGAAUAUUGAGCAAGAUUUUCAAACUCAUCGAUCGAAAUUGUUUCUGUUGUAUCCCAUGUUGUAAAAUGGAAAAAAAGUUAUUUCAUCGCAGCAUCCAUUUUUUCCUGUUCAGUAUCAAAAAUUUUCCAACAGCAAAAUCAAUCGACUAAAUUCGCACUACGGUUUUCGCACACCAAAAUUCGAGCCGUGACGAAAACCUCGUAUGGAAAUUCACACAUAGUGAAAUGUGAAUCCGAUCACCCCUCAAAAAUGUUGUGUCAACAGCAGAAGAAAUAAAAAAACAUCGAACGUUAUGGGAAAUAUA
rnacentral:misc_RNA from 1 species